GUUGAACGCUGGCGGCGGGCUUAACACAUGCAAGUCGAACGGUGAAGGCGGAGCUUGCUCUGCUUUAUCCGUGGGGAACGGGUGAGUAGCACGUGAGCAAUCUGCCCCUUACUCUGGGAUAUGCGCUGGAGACGGCUUCUAAUACUUAAUACGAGCUGCGAAAGCAUCUUCAGCAGCUGGAAAGAAAUUCUGUAAGGGAUGAGCUCGGGGCCUAUCAGCUUGUUGGUGAGCGAACGGCUAACCAAGGCGUCGGCGGAUCGCCUGCCUGAGAGGUUGAACGGGCACCAUGCGACUGCGACACGGAGCAGACUGGUAUGGGAGGCAGCAGGGGAAAAUAUUGUACAAUGGGGGCAAGUGUGAUGAAGAAACGCCGGGAGAGGGAAGAAGGCUAUGGGGUUGUAAAGGUCUUUUAGCAGGGAAGAAGCGAAAGUGACGGUACCAGCAGAAAAAGCGCCGGCUAACUACGUG
rnacentral:rRNA from 1 species